CCUACGGGGGGCAGCAGUGAGGAAUAUUGGUCAAUGGACGAGAGUCUGAACCAGCCAAGUAGCGUGAAGGAUGACUGCCCUAUGGGUUGUAAACUUCUUUUAUAAAGGAAUAAAACGAGGCAUGUAUGCCUCUUUGCAUGUACUUUAUGAAUAAGGAUCGGCUAACUCCGUGCCAGCAGCCGCGGUAAUACGGAGGAUCCGAGCGUUAUCCGGAUUUAUUGGGUUUAAAGGGAGCGUAGAUGGGUUGUUAAGUCAGUUGUGAAAGUUUGCGGCUCAACCGUAAAAUUGCAGUUGAUACUGGCAGUCUUGAGUACAGUUGAGGUAGGCGGAAUUCGUGGUGUAGCGGUGAAAUGCUUAGAUAUCACGAAGAACCCCGAUUGCGAAGGCAGCUUACUAAACUGUAACUGACGUUGAUGCUCGAAAGUGUGGGUAUCAAACAGGAUUAGAUACCCUUGUAGUC
rnacentral:rRNA from 1 species